rnacentral:rRNA from 1 species
GAUGAACGCUGGCGGCGUGCCUAAUACAUGCAAGUCGAGCGAACUGAUUAGAAGCUUGCUUCUAUGACGUUAGCGGCGGACGGGUGAGUAACACGUGGGCAACCUGCCUGUAAGACUGGGAUAACUUCGGGAAACCGAAGCUAAUACCGGAUAGGAUCUUCUCCUUCAUGGGAGAUGAUUGAAAGAUGGUUUCGGCUAUCACUUACAGAUUGGCCGGCGGUGCAUUAGCUAGUUGGUGAGGUAACGGCUCACCAAGGCAACGAUGCAUAGCCGACCUGAGAGGGUGAUCGGCCACACUGGGACUGAGACACGGCCCAGACUCCUACGGGAGGCAGCAGUAGGGAAUCUUCCGCAAUGGACGAAAGUCUGACGGAGCAACGCCGCGUGAGUGAUGAAGGCUUUCGGGUCGUAAAACUCUGUUGUUAGGGAAGAACAAGUACGAGAGUAACUGCUCGUACCUUGACGGUACCUAACCAGAAAGCCACGGCUAACUACGUGCCAGCCGCCGCCUAAGAC